rnacentral:miRNA from 1 species
UAGUGUAAACGCACUUCGGCCUGGCCUAGGCCAGGAAAUCUGGGCCCAUCAAAACAGGUGGUCCAGAUUCCCUGGCCUAGGCCAGGCCGAAGUGC